UAGUCGUAACAAGGUUUCCGUAGGUGAACCUGCGGAAGGAUCAUUAACGAAUAACUAUGGUGUCUUGGUUGUAGCUGGCUCCUCGGAGCAAUGUGCACGCCCGCCAUUUUUAUCUUUCCACCUGUGCACCGACUGUAGGUCUGGAUACCUCUCGCCCUUCACGGGGCGGAUGCGAGGAUUGCUCGUAAGGGCUUUCCUCGAAUUUCCAGGCUCUACGUCUUUUUACACACCCCAAUAGUAUGAUGUAGAAUGUAGUCAAUGGGCUUCUUAGCCUAUAAAACACUAUACAA
rnacentral:misc_RNA from 1 species